rnacentral:rRNA from 1 species
UACGGAGGGUGCAAGCGUUAUCCGGAUUCACUGGGUUUAAAGGGUGCGUAGGUGGGUUGGUAAGCCAGUGGUGAAAUCUCCGAGCUUAACUUGGAAACUGCCAUUGAUACUAUCAGUCUUGAAUAUUGUGGAGGUUAGCGGAAUAUGUCAUGUAGCGGUGAAAUGCUUAGAUAUGACAUAGAACACCAAUUGCGAAGGCAGCUGGCUACGCAUAUAUUGACACUGAGGCACGAAAGCGUGGGGAUCAAACAGG